CUGCCUCAAAAAUAAAUAAACAUUAAAAAAAUUUUUAUUGCAGAGAUGAAAUAUUAAGUGUUUAGCACGGAGCCUUGCAGUAAAAGUCACUUAUUAUCAAGGAUGAAAAGAUCACAUAGGUAACGGCGAGAAGAUGACCACCUAUGAGAAAGUAGACCCCCACCAGACACCGUAUCUGCCAGCACCUUGAUCUUGGACUCCCAGCCUCCAGAACGCAUCACAGUAAGACUUGAAUUUAAGCUUCUCCCAGACACAGAAGAAAGACGAUUCCAAACCGUUUUGGCCACAGGGAGGUUUCUCAGCAUCUGAGCCACAUGCCGCUUCCUCCAGCCCCCUGUUUUUGGUUCUUCCUCUGCACAUGCCCACUCCGCUCCACGCAUCUUGCCAGUUGCUGAGAAAGCAACGGUGAAAAAACCACUCAGUUGAGCUGCCGCAGCGUGACAGGCGGGCUUCGACAUCGACAACUUGUCUUUCUCUCCCUGCAUGAUAGGCAGGGCUAUCUUGCUGAAGAUUUUUUCAAGUGACAGUUUACGAUCCAAAUUAAAGUGAAAUCCAAGUAUGAACAGGGAGUACCAAUGUCAGCCAAGGACAAAUGGCUCAAUGGAUGCUAUUCAUGAAUGGCACAACCUGCCUGGCAGCUGGCAAGGUUCUUUAAUGAGAAGAAGAAGACAAAUCUCCAUUUCAGGAAGUCUAAAAUGGUUUGUGUGUUGGCCAUGGGGCAUCUGUGUGUUACAUGAUCUCACUCCAUUCUGGAAGAUGAGGUAUGGAUUCCAGACAGCCCACUCUAUUCUAAGACACUUGAGGGCAGGGACUGUCUUUUAUUUAUAUCUCCAUCCCCAGGGCCCACCUGGUACAGCUCCAAACAGUACAUGUUCUAUAAAUGUUGUGAUGAAAGGAAGUACUCAGGAAAGAUUAACCAGUGAGAUAGAUCGUUAAGAAAACAAAAAACAAAAAACAAAAACAGGUUUUCCAGCCAACUGGAUCUGAAUUUAGAUCCCAUCACCACUUGAUAACCAUGUAUCAUGGACUGAAUGUUUGCAUCCCCACAAAUUCAUAUGUUGAAACCCUGCCCCCCAAUGUAAUGGUAUAAAGAGAUGGGCUUUGGGAGGUAAUUAGGAGUAGAGGAAGUCGCGGGUGGAGCCUUAUUAAUGGGAUUAGUGUCCUUA